CUUCAGUAAAAUUUCGGACCCGAUUUUAGUCUAUAUUGUAGGAGGCAUAUCUCCUUGAAUAUGAGGAGUUUUAAGGUGUUUCAAAAGCCUAAAAUGAAGUUCAUCGAGUCUAGUUUGUAAUGCAACAAACCGCUCGUCAAAAUGAUAUCGGGAUAAGGAGAUAUGGACGAUGCAAGUUGGGCUGGCAGGGCAGCAAGUUUGGACCCGACCCAAACACUCACAUUUCGGCCCAUGAGGCCCAUUAAACUCAAUAGAUAAGUCACCACUUUGCCCUAUAUCAUUUCACACGACCUAAAACAGAUCCAAAACCCUUAUUUUCUCUCCCAAACCCCCUUUCUAAUUGAGCCAUCAUAUAAGCUAAAUCCUAGACCCUUGACAUGAUAUUAGUUAAAGAGAAGUUGUAGCUUAAGUUUUUUUUUGUGUUGUUAAGCAAGCAGCUGGAAAGAGGAACAAGAUUCUUGAAGAUUCUGAUUGCUAAAGGUAAUUUCAACCUCCCACUCAUGUUAUCAAUUUGGAUUAAAGGUUUAAUAUGGUGUAUACGUGAAGGAAACGUUGAUAUACAAGCUAGAGAGAGAGAGAGAGCAUAAGCCAUGGCAUUCGGCCAUGGCUAGCAAAAUUGGAGCUCAAAUUUGUUGAUCCAAAAAUCAGAUUUUCUAGGUAUUUCAGCCCUUAGGAAGGUGAUAAUAACGUGGAGAAUUCAUUUGGAGCAACAAGAACAAGUAUUAGUUCAUUUCACAAAUUCUAGCUAAGUGGAAAAAGCCAACUUGUUAAGACCUUGGGGAGCCCGAGGCGUAGAUUGGAAUUUACUUUAGAUUGGCUAUCUUGGAGUGCGUACGAGGUACCGACGACAGGUUUGCUGAUCCGUCCGUCUAGGAUAUCUUUUCUGCCAUUUGGAGCGCUCUUUUAUUCAGAGCCCAUCUUUUGGUACAGUCUGUCACUACUGUAUAUAUAUAUUCUCGUUCAUGGGUACGGCGGGGCCCUGUCCCGUUAUAUGAUUCUGUCGGUCUGUUUAGAGGUCUGUAGACAUGUUUGUGGGUUGGGGUCUUUCUGUACGGAUGCGUGUAUAUGUUGUGUUUGGGCGAUCCCAUUCGCCGCGGCGGCCGGUCCGCAUAUGUUUAAAUGUUGCUUUGUUGGCCCUGGGUGGUCAUUGUUGGUAUUAUCUGUGCGCAGGGUUAAUUUGGAUAGUCUGUAAAACAAAGGAAACUCUGCCGAAAUUUUUCUGGAAAUUAUCUAAAUAUUGAAAUAUAGCCUUGUCGGCUUCUGCUA